rnacentral:lncRNA from 1 species
CCCUGGCCCAGUUCUCCACCAGCAGCCCUCAGUGCUUCAAAGAAGGCAGCGGUCCUUGGAGGGGUCUCUCCAGCUGUGCUCGGGGACACAAGGGCCUUCUCACCCCACGGGCUGUGGAGUGGGCUGAAGAUCGAACAGCAAGCAAGCAGACUCGGGGCGACUCAGGGAAGGGCAGCGUGAGGCUGGGACCGGAGAGGCAGAUCCUGCUCCUCCCCAGGGCCGGGGUGCUGAGGACCACACUCCGGGCCUUGGCCAUGCCGCUUCUAAGACUCGAGGGUCCGAGAUGUGAGACGUCAGCCGGUGGCCGAUAAGAUCCUGCUUGCCCUCCUCAUCUGACUUUCCUCCCUCCACACCUACAUGCUUCUCCUUUUCCUAUUUCCAGGAACUUUCCAAAUGCAGGAACACAGAGCAACUGCAGGACAGGAUUCCACCAAAUUCCCCUCUCUGGCUCUUGGUUUCCACAUCUGUAAAGUAAAGGGUCGGGCAAGAUGAACGCCACGUUGGCUUCCUUGCAGCAGUGAGGUUCCAUGGUCCAGACCCCAAGGCACCACACUCAUUUGUACAUAACCUCCAGGACACUUUCUUCACGUCAGGACAGAGGAACCACUCUGCUCUCAACUCUGCCCUCCAGUCACCUCACCAGUCUUUGGGUCCAUGGCCCCUCGCGCUUGUCCCUCUUUCUUCAGGAACCUCAGACCUCCGUUCCCAACUUCCUUUCACAAGUUUACCACAUUCCUUGGGCUAAGCCGACUGGACAAAACACCAAGAAACCACCUUACCUACUACCCUGGCUGUGAUUUCGGGCUCCAGGCCCAAGUCAACUGCUUUGGGAGGUCCUGGCCACUGGAGGAAAUGCUGGCACCUCUCCCCAGCACCUCCCCUGCUCCUCCACCUCACUGUUCUCCAUGCCAGCACGAAAAGUGGCCAGUGAUUGAUGGGCCUGGGUUCCCGGUAACCGCACCCAGUGGCCCAAUCCUCCUCCCUUCCUCAAUCCCUCCCCUGCCCCUAUUCAGAGCUCAGAUUGUCUCAUGUUGGUCCCUGAGGUCCCAUUAAUUAAAAAUACAUCCAAUUAAAUGGCAGGUGAAAACGUGCUGCUGGAGCUCCACCCCCCACCCCAGCUUGGUCUCUCCGCUCCCCCUGCCCAAGGCUCAGCUGUGCUUUGGCUGAGAAAAGAGAGGGGGGAGAGAAGGGAAGAGAGUAGAGGAAGACAUAGGGGUAGGAGGAUGGCAGGGGGCUACUUGAACCUCUGCCAGGGUAGCAUGUGCCAGCCUGGGAGGGUGGCACUGUGCCCUGGGGUCUAAUUUCUGGAGGUGUGAGUAGUUCAGUCAGCUGGGUACCCACCUCCAUUUCCCUUAAAGAGGCAGAGGGCAGCCAGGGGGUGGCUAACUGUGCUGCCUACUUCUGCGUUUGGUGGCACGAGCGUAAAUGGUAGCAGGGCCUUCGGAGGGGUGUGCUGUUCAGAGGUCAGGGGCAUCUCAGACCUCCAUCCUGGCCAUAUCUCUGCUCUUCCCCAAACUGCGAAGAAGAUAAUGAGGAGCCAAUGGGGACCCAGGUGGCAGGACACGGCAACGCUCCUGAGCCUGGCUGGGGCUGCUCUUGCCUACAGGAAACCAAGAGACAGAUGCAGGGAGUGAGAAAGAAAGGAGCCAUGACUUGGGCAAGGGCAGACGGGUCAGAUAGAGUAGAAUAUUACAGAAAUGGGUAUUCACGUGGGCACCAUGCCCCCGAGCACUGUAUAGGCAAGAGGGCUUGGAGGCCCUCGUCCUGUUUGCCCUUGGUCUCUGCGGAAACAGCAGUCCCCUCGGCCUGGCUGCCUGGAAAGCUAUGGGCAGGGCAUCUCUAAUGAGUGGAGACCACUCCUCUCUUCCUCUUCCUCCUCCUUCUCCCCCUCCUCCUCCUCCUCCUCCAGCCUCACAGGUAGAGCACCUCCCCGGCCCCACCCCAGAGGAGCCCUAUGUCCCAAGCACAGCAAUUCGAGGCUAACGGGCCCUGGGUGCUGCUGGAGAGCAGCUAUAGAGGAAGGGGAUGAAGGGUGCACUC